GCGUGAUAAGUCGCCCUUUAAUUGUGGGCUUGUAUGAACGGAUAAACGAAAGACCAGCUGUCUCUUAAGUAAAAAUAAAAAUUAACCUUCAGGUGAAGAGGCCUGAAUAAAAUUAAAGGACAAGAAGACCCUGUAGAGCUUAGUUUAUUAUUAAGCUAAUAACAAUCUUUAACACACUAUUUAUAUCUUUCAAUAAUAUAUCUUAUAAAAACUUAGCUGGGGCGGCUAAGGAAAUUAAUCUUCCAUUUUCUUCUUCACCUUUAUUCGGUCUUUACACCUAUACAAAUUGACCCUUAAAAGAUCAAAAAAGAAAGCUACCUCAGGGAUAACAGAUUAAUCCUUCUCGAGAGUUCACAUUGACAGAAGGGC
rnacentral:rRNA from 1 species